CGCGGGCUCCUCACCCAUCCCCUCCAAAUCCUUCGUCGGCGGCACCUCUCGCUGUUGCACCGCCGUUUCCCGAAGCUCCAUCACACCCCUUUCCCAAUCUCUCCGUCACACCCGUUCACCAGUCUCUCUCUUUUAGCUUCGACGCUGAUGAAUUUCGCCACCCUCUCAACACCAUUUUCUGUCGCCGCUCGUAGAAGCUCAUCAGCGUCGUCGCCGCUUCUACCAUUUCUUCUCGUCGCCGUUGGUUCAGAGAUUUAUCCCAGCUGAAUUUGGAGCAGACCCUACCAAGGUUCAAAUAUAUGACCAGGAGGAUGGCCGUAAUUUAUAGGCACCCAAACUCAAAAUUUGCCAGAUGGUUGAGGCUGAACGCAUUCCAUAUACCUGCAUUUGCUGCAAUUUCUUCAUAAAGAUUUUGCUCCCUUCUCUUGUUCAGCCAGGCUUAAAUGCUCCUCCUAGUGACAAGGCGUAUUUGUUAAGGAAAAUGAUGUCGCUGCCUUCACUAUUAGCACAGUUGAUGAACCCCGCACCUUGAACAAAGUGUUGUACUUGAGACCCUCAGAAAACAUUUAUUCUCUGAAUGAACUAGUCGAGAUGUGGGAAACUAAAAUUGGGAAGAAGCUUGAGAAAUCACACGUCUCAUAAGAAGAGCUGAUCAAGAAAAUCGAAGAAGCAAAAUCAAAU